rnacentral:rRNA from 1 species
UACGGGGGGGGUAAGCGUUGUUCGGAAUUACUGGGCGUAAAGGGCUCGUAGGCGGCCAACUAAGUCAGACGUGAAAUCCCUCAGCUUAACUGGGGAACUGCGUCUGAUACUGGAUGGCUUGGAUUCGGGAGAGGAAUGCGGAAUUCCAGGUGUAGCGGUGAAAUGCGUAGAUAUCUGGAGGAACACCGGUGGCGAAGGCGGCAUUCUGGACCGAUAUUGACGCUGAGGAGCGAAAGCCAGGGAGCAAACGGG